AGUAACCUUACCUACACAGUAAAUAACAGUAAGAUUGUCUGCAAAUUACCUAUGUCUUCCUUGCUAGUACUUGAAAUGUGUUUUGAUUUUGAGUUAACCAGCCAUUGGUGCCAAUGGUACACAUGACAUGAUGCACUUUGGUUUCCAAGCAGAUCCACUGUAUUCCACUGAAGGCAAGAUGACACUGACUGAUCGCAAUCCAAGCCCUGAUUGUAGAAUGAUGAAACGUGGAAACAGUGAGCAUCUUACACACACUGAAAUGCAGUACAAGUGCUGGUGAAAACCCUCCUUUCCUGUUGGGAGUGGGUGGAACGCUUCCGGAGUACUGUUCUAACUGUCCUCGGGGUUACCUUGGGGUUAGCUCUCCUGCUCCUGAACAGACCAGCCAGCCUUCUGGUACUCUGGAUACACCUCACUGGCAGGGCUAUCCCUUCCGUUCCUGAAACUUCAUACUUUUGGUACACGCUCAUGGAGUGAUGCCAGUCUCAAAUGAAAACAUCACUCUUACAACAUUCGUUUCCUCAUAACUGCUCAAAGGCAGCCAUACUAUUGACUACUUUUUCUAGAAGAUUCUGCAUGGAUGAUGGGGUCAUCUCUGUUUCCAGACUCUAUUCCUCCCGCUGGAAGCCUGGCAUGAUUGGAAAGCUGGAAAAACCACAACUGAACAGCCUGGCACUUGCUUUAACAGUCGUUCCAACCACAGAUUAAUACUGUUACUGGAUUUGACUAACGGCUCUCAGUCAGCCCAACUGUCAGCACUUGAGAACAUUCAAGCCAGCUCAAGACCAAGAGGAAACAUAUUCCCUCACUUCCUCUGGAAGCCUGACUUUCCCUCCGCCCCUUAGGUGGGAGAGCCAACCGGUGCAAGACACCAACAACCGGACACCAUCAUGUACGAUUAGAGAAGGGGAAGGCCAGAGUGGAGAAAGACUCAGUCAGGUACCCAGAGGACCCUUGGCCCAAGUACCAGACAAGGAACACAACAGUGAGUCGCCUGAUGCAGUGCCCAGAUCGUCUCCACCACCCAUCAUGUUAGUGCCAUCUUUUGC